rnacentral:rRNA from 1 species
AUUGAACGCUGGCGGCAUGCCUUACACAUGCAAGUCGAACGGCAGCACGGGAGCAAUCCUGGUGGCGAGUGGCGAACGGGUGAGUAAUAUAUCGGAACGUGCCCAGUAGUGGGGGAUAACUGCUCGAAAGAGCAGCUAAUACCGCAUACGACCUGAGGGUGAAAGGGGGGGAUCACAAGACCUCUCGCUAUUGGAGCGGCCGAUAUCAGAUUAGCUAGUUGGUGGGGUAAAGGCCUACCAAGGCAACGAUCUGUAGUUGGUCUGAGAGGACGACCAGCCACACUGGGACUGAGAAACGGGCCAGACUCCUACGGGAGGCAGCAGUGGGGAAUUUUGGACAAUGGGCGCAAGCCUGAUCCAGCAAUGCCGCGUGCAGGAAGAAGGCCUUCGGGUUGUAAACUGCUUUUGUCAGGGAAGAAAUCCUCUAGGUUAAUACCCUUGGGGGGAUGACGGUACCUGAAGAAUAAGCACCGGCUAACUACGUGCCAGCCGCCGCCGUAAAAC